CCUUGUACACACCGCCCGUCAAGCCAUGGAAGUGGGUUUUGCCUGAAAUCGCCGGGAGCUUCUGGCAGGCGCUUAGGGUAAGGCUCAUGACUGGGGCU
rnacentral:rRNA from 1 species